UUGGUACUACCUAUACCAACAAGAUGCAUCUUCUUUUCGGUAGCUAAUAGAUAAGAACUUCAUAGUUAAACGUGCUUGACUUGGAGUAGUAUUUGGAUGAAUGACCUUCUAGAAAGUUUUUUGAAAAGCGUAUGAGUGAGGACAAAGCAUGCUGAAAAGAUCUAUGUUGGUUUGUGGGGUCAAUCGAUCAUCCUGAAAGCAGUACGAGGUGUUACAGGCGCAACGCCCAUAUGCUAAGCUUUUGUUUGAGUUCAGAUGGGGGAGGUGAGUCAUUAAACCCAUGGGUGUCAUGCAGCAAAAACUCCUUGGGCUUUUGUUUGAAGGCCUAUGCUCAUCAGAAAUCGCUCUGCCUCGCUAGAGGCGGCAGAGCCACCCAGGUUAACUCAAAACCAACACCAUGGAACUUGCUUCUACCCCUUAUGUCCACUUCUUCUUCUAUUCUCUCUGAAACCUACCUUAAACUCUGAAAUCCUGACAUAAUCACAAACCCUAAAUUCCUUCAAAUGGAAAUUAAAUGAUCAACAUCCACGAAAUCAAAGCAAGGUGUUAGGGUUAUACUUCAACAAAUGAGUUGUACGCCAUGGUAACGAUAAUGUCACAAGAAAAUGAAGAGCAAGGUGUGUUGUGUUUACCUACAAGGCGGAUAUUGAUCCUAGAGUUUGUAGGAGUUGAAGAAAAUGAUGGAGAAAACCAAAAAAUGUGUAGGCAUGGCUAGUUAUGUCACUUGAUUUGGCAUGAUAUCAUCAAGGUUUGACAAGGCAUGAUCAAGGUUUUGGCAUGGCAUUAAGGUGAUGGAAUUUUGGCAUAGAGCGUGAAGUAUUUUGGAAUGCGCUUGAAGUACUUAGAGGUCCACAUGAAGAAUCAAGAGAAAAGUAGACUUUAAGUAGGUUUAUGAUUAGUUUGACUUUUGGUCAACAGUUUGACCAAAAGUCAACCUUAGGUUAAAACUAUUUUUUUGUAUGUAAUUUGUACUUUUGACAUUGUAAUGACUCUUAUGAUAUUAUAAUUGAAACUCUGGCCUUUGAAUGUGAUUUGUA